UACGUAGGGGGCUAGCGUUGUCCGGAUGUAUUGGGCGUAAAGAGCGUGUAGGCGGCCAGGUAGGUCUGCUGUGAAAACUCGAGGCUCAACCUCGAGACGUCGGCGGAAACCAUCUGGCUAGAGUCCGGAAGAGGAGAGUGGAAUUCCUGGUGUAGCGGUGAAAUGCGCAGAUAUCAGGAAGAACACCCGUGGCGAAGGCGGCUCUCUGGGACGGUACUGACGCUGAGACGCGAAAGCGUGGGGAGCGAACAGG
rnacentral:rRNA from 1 species